rnacentral:rRNA from 1 species
UACGGGGGGGGGCAAGCGUUGUUCGGAAUUACUGGGCGUAAAGGGCUCGUAGGUGGCCAACUAAGUCAGACGUGAAAUCCCUCAGCUUAACUGGGGGAACUGCGUCUGAUACUGGAUGGCUUGAGAUUGGGAGAGGGAUGCGGAAUUCCAGGUGUAGCGGUGAAAUGCGUAGAUAUCUGGAGGAACACCGGUAGCGAAGGCGGCAUCCUGGACCAACACUGACACUGAGGAGCGAAAGCCAGGGGAGCGAACGGGG